AGCCCUCGACCCUAACUUCCACGCACGCGUAUCACACGUGAGUUUCAGAAAUACACAAAAUAUCCCUAAUCCCCAAUCCACAACCGUCCGAUCUUAUUACACGUCAUCAAUCCCAUUGUCCUCUUUUUUCAACGGCUGAGAUCACACUUGCCCAAGAGUUGCUACUGGUUCGAACCUCCCCUGUUUCUCCCUUUCUCCCUCUCUCUCUCUUCACUCCCCUGCUUUCCCCCUUUCCCCAAAAAUAAUUUCAAAAAAAAAAAAAAAGAAAAUUCCCAAAAAAUCUCUGUAAUUGUAUCCAUGAAGAUGAUGAUGGAGGAGGAGAGAGAAAUUGAGGCGGCGAAGAAGGAGGUCGCAGACGCCAUUAACGGCCAGAAAAAGGAGGAAGUUGUAGAAGAAGAGGUUGACGGCGAGGAAGAAGAAGAUGCUGAUGAUGGUUCUGAAGAAGAUGAUGAUGACGACGACGAUGAUGAAGGUGAUGAGGAUGCAGUGCAAGAAGGUCUACCGUCUUCUGAUACUCCCGCAGUUCACUCGGUAGAUGAUGAAGACGAUGAUGAUGAUGCUGAUGACGAUGACGACGACGACGACGACGAUGACGAAGACGACGGUGAUGACGAUGAUGAGGAGCCUGAUACCGGGUAUCUUGUUCGCCCUGUUGCUCCUGCUGAAGAUGAGGUGGAUGCCUCUGAUUUUGAGCCUGAAGAGAAUGGUGAUGAUGAAGAUACCGAAGAAGAUACUGAUGAUGAGGUUGAUGAUGAUCAUGAGGAUGGGAAAGUUGAGGCUCCACCAAAGCGCAAAAGGUCAGGUGAAGAGGAUGAUUCUGGUGAUGAUGAUGGAGAUGAUGAUGAAAGACCACCCAAACGGUAGUGGUGAGGACCGUGGGGUUUGGCUUCUGUUACUCUCUGGAAAAAUGCCGAUGGAGGUUUGACCCAUCGGCAUAUAGCGACGAUUGGUGAAAGAAAAGUAUUGCAAAAGCGAUCGCUGAGAAUGUCGGGCCAAGGUGAAUGGACUGGCUCACAAUUUUGCUGGAAAGUCGCAUCUCUAUCGAGCCCAUUCCAACACCCAUCGAGCCCAUUCCAACACAAUACAACUGGACAUUAUUCUUGAUAUAUUUCAGAUUUAACAUAACUAUACCUGGGUAUUUGGGUUUGGGUCGGUGCGGGUUAUAUCUUAGUGGUCCAAAGUGAUCCAGAUCAACUUGGGCUGUGGAUUAAUAUUGUGUUGGUAUUCGAUAGGCCAAUAAACGAUCAAGGAAAAAAAUAUAAGCCAAAUUUUGUUGCAUGUGAA